GUCUGCUACUCCUGAUCUCACUCUAGAAUCGCUGGGAUACUGGACGAAUUAUGGUUCAUAUUAUUAUAACAAUGUACCUACUAACUCUACAUAUGAAGAUGUUGUACUAUUAGUACAGUCUCAGCAGUUUCCACAAGUUCCUUUGAAAUAUAUUGAACUGGAUAAUUGGUGAAAUCAAAGGGAUAGUAACGGUAUGUUAUCAUGGAAACCAGAUAAUAAAUCUCUUCCUAACG